GAAACUUCCCGUAAUUGGUAUUUAAAACAUCGAAUGCUUGUUUGGGUCGAAUCAUACCUGUUCCUUUUGCAUUUGAACAACAGAUAUGGAGGAGCGCCGAAGAUUCAUCUCUGCUUAUCUGGCAUCUUCUGGAAAUGAACUCAUUGAUGCCAAAGUGGAGCAGCUACUCAUCGAUGCCGAGAAAUACACUCUUGCUAAUCGUUUGUUUUGGGGCUUAUGGGGAAUCAUAUCGGGUCAUGUAAGCAAGAUAGACUUCGACUAGUUGGAGUAUGCGCGGCAGAGGAUUCAACAAUACUGGUUAACAAAUCCCUUGCUCUUGGGUUCCUGACUUU